GACAGCAGCAGCCACGGGAAUACGGAGGGUGCAAGCGUUAUCCGGAUUUAUUGGGUUUAAAGGGUCCGUAGGCGGAUCUGUAAGUCAGUGGUGAAAUCUCACAGCUUAACUGUGAAACUGCCAUUGAUACUGCAGGUCUUGAGUAAAUUUGAAGUGGCUGGAAUAAGUAGUGUAGCGGUGAAAUGCAUAGAUAUUACUUAGAACACCAAUUGCGAAGGCAGGUCACUAAGAUUUAACUGACGCUGAUGGACGAAAGCGUGGGGAGCGAACAGGAUUAGAUACCCGUGUAGUCCCUGUCUCUUAUAC
rnacentral:rRNA from 1 species